rnacentral:rRNA from 1 species
UACGUAUGGUGCAAGCGUUAUCCGGAUUUACUGGGUGUAAAGGGUGCGUAGGUGGUGAGACAAGUCUGAAGUGAAAAUCCGGGGCUUAACCCCGGAACUGCUUUGGAAACUGCCUGACUAGAGUACAGGAGAGGUAAGUGGAAUUCCUAGUGUAGCGGUGAAAUGCGUAGAUAUUAGGAGGAACACCAGUGGCGAAGGCGACUUACUGGACUGCUACUGACACUGAGGCACGAAAGCGUGGGGAGCAAACAGGAUUAGAUACCCUGGCCGGCUGACUGACU